CCUACGGGAGGCAGCAGUGGGGAAUUUUGGACAAUGGGCGAAAGCCUGAUCCAGCAAUGCCGCGUGUGGGAAGAAGGCCUUCGGGUUGUAAACCACUUUUGUACGGAACGAAAAGGUCUGCUUUAAUAAAGCGGGCUCAUGACGGUACCGUAAGAAUAAGCACCGGCUAACUACGUGCCAGCAGCCGCGGUAAUACGUAGGGUGCGAGCGUUAAUCGGAAUUACUGGGCGUAAAGCGUGCGCAGGCGGUUAUAUAAGACAGUUGUGAAAUCCCCGGGCUCAACCUGGGAAUUGCAUCUGUGACUGUAUAGCUAGAGUACGGUAGAGGGGGAUGGAAUUCCGCGUGUAGCAGUGAAAUGCGUAGAUAUGCGGAGGAACACCGAUGGCGAAGGCAAUCCCCUGGACCUGUACUGACGCUCAUGCACGAAAGCGUGGGGAGCAAACAGGAUUAGAUACCCUGGUAGUCCACGCCCUAAACGAUGUCAACUGGUUGUUGGGUGCAUUAGUACUCAGUAACGAAGCCAACGCGUGAAGUUGACCGCCUGGGGGAGGACGGCGCGAAGGUAGUAACGUUACAAGUAGAGUUAGUACGGCGNGAGACGNGCGACGGACGACGACGAGGGAGGAGG
rnacentral:rRNA from 1 species